GACUCUCGGCAACGGAUAUCUCGGCUCUCGCAUCGAUGAAGAACGUAGCGAAAUGUGAUACCUGGUGUGAAUUGCAGAAUCCCGCGAACCAUCGAGUCUUUGAACGCAAGUUGCGCCCGAGGCCACUCGGCCGAGGGCACGCCUGCCUGGGCGUCA
rnacentral:rRNA from 1 species